AGGAAACCCGAAGAACUGAGUAAAUCAGACUUUUGCUCUCAGCAAAUUGUGCAGGCAACAAACAGUAAGGAGGGAGGGCCAGAGCACAGAAACGGGUUGGGCAGAUCCGAAGCAGCACAGGCGGGGCAGGGGGCCCAGGCUGGCGGGUGACGCGCUUGGGUGCGCGGCUCUGGAAGGGCCUCGAGCUGAGGCGCGCUGGGGCAGUGAGCAGUCACCCAGAGCCGCCGGCACUGCGGGCAAGGGGUGCUAACAGGCUGUGAUCACUAAGGCAACCCCAAUUUCUACAAACAGAGCCUUUGGAGCUCUCCUCCAUGCCCAGCACUAGGCUUCAGGCACAGAAGAAAGAACCCACUCAUCAUGAACAAAUGCUGCUGUCUCCACAAGGCCAAGCAUUUUCCCUCUCUUCUCUACCCUCAAGAUGACUUUAAGAGUUCCAGGCAUCACAUAAAAUCCUGAGGAAUAAGACAGAACAUCUCUCUAUGGCUUUUUCUUUCUAACAAAAAAACUUUCCCCAUACUCCUUUGGCAGACUUCUUGGCUCUCAUUGGUUGGAAUUGGGUCAUGUGCAUAUUCCUCGACUAAUCAUGGGUAAGGGGAUAAGACUGUCUUUAGAUCUGGCCCGUCCCUUGGAGCUGGGAGUGUGGUCCACUUCCCUGAUGCACACAGCUGUGUGGGAGAGAAGACAAUAGCAGACAGUGAAAUCAUGGUUUUGUUAAAAGAGAAGCUGGAAGCAACACAAGAGUGUCCCCAGUGGGAUCACACGGCAUGGAGCUCUACCUCUCACGCUGCAGCUCAAACCUGCUAACCUGAGUUGGACAACGAUCUCUGCAAGAGAUCUGAUGCCCAGGCUGCCCUCACUACUCCCCCUUUCAGCGUGGACUCCUCUGUGAAACCUUUCUCCUCCUCCUUGUUACCCACCUUCCCUUUGAGUUCUGGAAUUAGCUCCUCGGCACAGCUUGUGUUCCCCUUGAGGUUUUUGCUGCUCUCUCAUGGAAGACACUAUUUAUGUUCUUGCUUACUAUCAUUUGCAUAAGAAUCUGUGAUGAAUUUCUCCUUGAAUUACUAGUUUUUAGCAAUGGACAAAUACCCUCUCACUGAACAAGGACAGUUACACAAUCCAUAAUCAUUCUCUCUUGCAGCAGUGAAGCUCAGAGCUAUGUAUAGUGCUCAGCAGCCAUCUGACCUCAUCCUAGGCUCUUGGUACCACUUCGUUUCUCUCUCUAACAAUGUGUCUAAGAUCUGGCUGGUGCUGUUGUUUCUUUAUGUAGUAAGUUGAUUCUGGGGAAGACCGGACCCCUGGUUUUUGAGCCCUUGAGAAGAGAUCCGCUGAAACUGGGCUUAGUCUGGUGUAUUUCCUCCUGGGCCAGCAGCUGUUAUCUC